ensembl:lncRNA
GAGAGAGAGAGAGAAGCACAGGGGUGGAGAGAGAGAGAGAGGAAGCGACAGGGGUGGAGAGAGAGAGAGAGGAAGCGACAGGGGGGUGGAGAGAGAGAGGGGAAGCGACGGGUGGAGAGAGAGAGGAAGCGACAGGGGUGGAGAGAGAGAGAGAGGAAGAGACAGGGGUGGAGAGAGAGAGAGGAAGCGACGGGGUGGAGAGAGAGAGGGGAAGCGACAGGGGUGGAGAGAGAGAGGGGAAGCAACAGGGGUGGAGAGAGAGAGAGGAAGCGACAGGGGUG